UGGGGAAUCUUGCGCAAUGGGCGAAAGCCUGACGCAGCCAUGCCGCGUGAAUGAUGAAGGUCUUAGGAUUGUAAAAUUCUUUCACCGGGGACGAUAAUGACGGUACCCGGAGAAGAAGCCCCGGCUAACUUCGUGCCAGCAGCCGCGGUAAUACGGAGGGUGCAAGCGUUAAUCGGAAUUACUGGGCGUAAAGCGCACGCAGGCGGUCUGUUAAGUCAGAUGUGAAAUCCCCGGGCUCAACCUGGGAACUGCAUUUGAAACUGGCAGGCUUGAGUGUGAGAGAGGUAUGUGGAACUCCGAGUGUAGAGGUGAAAUUCGUAGAUAUUCGGAAGAACACCAGUGGCGAAGGCGACAUACUGGCUCAUUACUGACGCUGAGGCUCGAAAGCGUGGGGAGCAAACA
rnacentral:rRNA from 1 species